GAAAUUUUGUGACAAAACGUGAAAGAAAUAAGUUGUUAUUUUGGCAUUCAGUUCUCAAGUGAGGAUUAUGUUGCAAGUGUCUUGUGUUAUGUAGUUUUAGUAUGUUGGAUUAGAUUUUAGUGGCUACUUGUUGCAGUAGCAUGUUAAACUUUCUUUGUUAAAUUCUAUUACGUUUUUA